rnacentral:rRNA from 1 species
ACGAACGCUGGCGGCGUGCUUAACACAUGCACGUCGAACGGAAAGGCCCUGCCUUUGUGGGGUGCUCGAGUGGCGAACGGGUGAGUAACACGUGAGUAACCUGCCCUUGACUUUGGGAUAACUUCAGGAAACUGGGGCUAAUACCGGAUAGGAGCUCCUGCUGCAUGGUGGGGGUUGGAAAGUUUCGGCGGUUGGGGAUGGACUCGCGGCUUAUCAGCUUGUUGGUGGGGUAGUGGCUUACCAAGGCUUUGACGGGUAGCCGGCCUGAGAGGGUGACCGGCCACAUUGGGACUGAGAUACGGCCCAGACUCCUACGGGAGGCAGCAGUGGGGAAUAUUGCACAAUGGGCGGAAGCCUGAUGCAGCAACGCCGCGUGCGGGAUGACGGCCUUCGGGUUGUAAACCGCUUUCGCCUGUGACGAAGCGUGAGUGACGGUAAUGGGUAAAGAAGCACCGGCUAACUACGUG